AGCUAAUUUCGAGUCAUCGUUAAUGAAAGUACCUUGUUCAGGUUUGGUAUUAAUCGUGUCAGCUGUUUUUUAUGCCGGAUAAUGGUGUGUGUGAUUAUUCUCUACAUUUUAAUAACAAUUUUAGCAGAAAGUUUCGGGAUUUUCAUAAUAUGUAUUUCAAAAGAAAUGUGACGGCUAAAUUUCCGUGUCAUGCAGAAACAGCGGGGAGCGGAGCGAUGCCAAGAGUGAUGGAAGAGGUCAUUUGUGAUCAACAAAAUGCCAUCCGAGUUAUUACGUUAUGAGGCGAACUGGAAUAAAGGAGAUACACUGGCCGGUUGGUACAUUUACUAUAAAAAAGUUAUAACAGAUAAGUACCUGAAUCCGCAAAGCGACGGGGAAAAAUUGGAGUAUCGGGUAGUGUAAUGCAGAUUUAAUUUUUCAUAACUCUGCCCCUGUACAUUUCCGCAAUGAGUGGUUGCAGAUUUUGAUUCCUCACCUCCAACUUAAUUUACACCGAACUUAGAAUGUUCAGAGACGGAAUCACCAAAGAAAAACCAUCCCUAAAUAAUGAUCUCAGCUCUUAAGCAGCAAACAGAACUGAAGCAGUAAUUUAUGCAAUUGAAAAUGUGUUCAGUUCAAUCUAGAGAAAUACUGCAAACAGGAGAUCAUCACCCUGUCCGAUAGCCAGCAGCCAUUAGAGGUUUAAGCUGCAAUAUCAUUAAAUAUAAACUUGUUUGGAAUUGGCUACAAAAAUAGGAAAGCUAGGCAGAAAAAAUGAAGUUAUCCAACAAUGGAUUCCGGGACAUACCGAAGCGAAGGGAAAUUAAAUAGCUGAUAAGCUCGUCAAAGCGGUGGCGGACAAGUCUUUCAUUGGAUACCUUCUGGGAUAUUAGCUAUAGAACAAUAGAAAUUGCACUGAAAAUAAGGUAGAUAAAAGCAAAACCAAUUAUUGGGACAACCUACAGAGGCUGAGACAGGCAAAGACUUCCUGGGAAACUAUAACCAGAGAAAAUCUGCUGAAUGUAUCAAUAAAUUAGAAUAAUCUACAAAUACUAACAGGGUAUUGUCGCCUCAAUGGACACUUGAAGCCUCUUGAAGCAGAUUUUGUUGCAUAGAGGACGAAACCUCUAUCCAUAUUCUCUCGAUGUGUCAAACACGAAACUCCAGAUCAAUACACCUAAAAGCGUAUGAAAUAGAAGACGGAGAUCUUUGACAGCUACAACCAUCCCAUAUUGUGGAGUUUUUAAAACGAGUGGGGUUGAGAGAUCAGUUGUAAACACUGGGUUCCCCAGAAUCGCAUCAAGAAAUGGGCCGCAGUGUAUAUGACGCUCCUAUAUCACACCAUAUAUUUCACCAUAAUAAACGUGAUAAGAGAGUUGCUUUACAAGUUUUUAAAAUCGAACAAUACGUGGUGUUAAUAAGUUGGGUACUCACUUUAUUUCAGAACAUUAACGCAAUUUUGAAAUUGACUAAAUUGUUUGGAUGUUUAAAAGACGCCAGUUUAAGCGAAAAUGGAAAUCAUCUAUGAAAGCAUACGUUAAAUGAUAUUUUAUAAAUUUAAAAAAAAACCUUACUCAACAACAAUUUACAGAAUCGCUUCGUGCAGUUUUUGGUAAUGAAGCACCAUCAGAGAAUGCAGGUCGGGCGACUGUCAGUUAUGCAUGUCGAGAAAAUUCUCCAAAAUCGGUUGUCAUUCGAUUAGAAUCAAUGUCUCAUUGCCUGUAUUCACCUGAUUUAUCGUCUUUUUCUUGUUUCCCGCUAUCAAAUAAAAUAUGCUCGAAUAGCGAUUUCCAUCACCUCAAAAUGCUGUUGACGACUUUUCAAACAAUGGUUCUACAAUAUCAGUUUCAAAGUGGAAAAUAUAUUUCUAGAAUUAGUUUGAGUUUAUGCAAAAAUAUAUAUAGGCCUCAACAGGAAUAUUUCGAAAAGCAAUAAAGCACUUCGAACUUGUU